rnacentral:rRNA from 1 species
GCCUGAAUCUAGCCCAAUCCCAUACAAUUAGUUACACUCAAAAAUUAACAUCAGCCACUAAACUAAAGCAUUAGUUAAACUUAGUAUAGGCGAUAGAAAAGACAUCCACUGGCGCAAUAGAAAGCUGUACCGUAAGGGAAAGAUGAAAUAAUAAUGAAAACCUAAGCAAUAAAUAGCAAAGAUAAACCCUUGUACCUUUUGCAUCAUGAUUUAGCAAGAACAACCAAGCAAAAUGAACUUAAGCUUGCCUUCCCGAAACCCAAGCGAGCUACUUACAGGCAGCUAUUUUGAGCGAACCCGUCUCUGUUGCAAAAGAGUGGGAUGACCUGUUAGUAGAGGUGAAAAGCCAACCGAGCUGGGUGAUAGCUGGUUGCCCGUAAAACGAAUCUAAGUUCUGCCUUAACUUCUUUUUCCCCUACCAUGAACCCUGACUAAUCUUUACACGUGGAAAGUUAAGAGUAAUUUAAAGGAGGUCCAGCUCCUUUAAAAAAGAAUACAACCUCUCCUAGCGGAUAAAACUCCCCACCUACCAGACCCCGUAGGCUUUAAAGCAGCCAUCAAUAAAGAAUGCGUCAAAGCUCAUUUACUCAAAAAUCCUAAAACAUUAUGACUCCCUUACCCCUAACGGGCUAACCUAUACCUAUAGGAGAAUUUAUGCUAAAAUAAGUAACCAGGAACUCCUCCUCUCAAGCGCAAACUUACAUCUCCACAAUUAUUAACAGACUAACUAAUACUUCAACUCAAACAAGCCUAAAUAUUAACCCCACUCUGUUAUUCCAACACCGGAGCGCUCAUAAGAAAGAUUAAAAUCUGUAAAAGGAACUAGGCAAACCCAGGGCCCGACUGUUUACCAAAAACAUAGCCUUCAGCUAGCCAAGUAUUGAAGGUGAUGCCUGCCCAGUGACAUAUGUUCAACGGCCGCGGUAUCCUAACCGUGCGAAGGUAGCGCAAUCAAUUGUCCCAUAAAUCGAGACUUGUAUGAACGGCUAAACGAGGUCCUACCUGUCUCUUACAGAUAAUCAGUGAAAUUGAUCUCCCUGUGAAAAAGCAGGAAUAAGUUCAUAAGACGAGAAGACCCUGUGGAACUUUAAAAUCAGCAGCCACCCCACAAACAACCAUAAGCCUGCCAGGCUCACUACUCAAAAACAUUGGUCUGCAUUUUUCGGUUGGGGCGACCUUGGAGAAAAACAAAUCCUCCAAAGAUAAGACCACACCUCUUAACCAAGAGCAACACCUCUACGUACUAACAGUAACCAGACCCAAUACAAUUGAUUAAUGAACCAAGCUACCCCAGGGAUAACAGCGCAAUCUCCUUCGAGAGCCCAUAUCGACAAGGAGGUUUACGACCUCGAUGUUGGAUCAGGACAUCCUAAUGGUGCAGCCGCUAUUAAGGGUUCGUUUGUUCAACGAUUAACAGUCCUACGUGAUCUGAGUUCAGACCGGAGUAAUCCAGGUCGGUUUCUAUCUAUGACGAACUUUCCCCAGUACGAAAGGACCGGAAAAGUGAGGCCAAUACUACAGGCACGCCUCCCCCCAAGUAAUGAACCCAACUAAAUUACCAAAAGGACACCCACCCUUCCACCCCAAACAAGGGCAA